rnacentral:tRNA from 1 species
GCACUAGUGGUCUAGUGGUAGUAUAGUACCCUGCCAUGCUACAGACCUGGGUUCAAUUCCCACCUGGUGCA